AUUGAACGCUGGCGGCGUGCCUAAUACAUGCAAGUCGAACGCAGUGGGGACGGGUGAGUAACACGUGGGUAACCUCCCAUCAGAGGGGAUAACACUUGGAAACAGGUGCUAAACCGAUAUUGAUGGAUCUACUCUCGGUGCAUUAGCUAGUUGGUGAGGUAACGGCUCACCAAGGCCACGAUGCAUAGCCGGCCUGGGGGGGUGAUCGGCCACACUGGGACUGGGACACGGCCCAGACUCCUACGGGAGGCAUCAGUAGGGAAUCUGCGGCAAUGGACGAAAGGCUAACCGAGAAACGCCGCGUGAUUGAAGAAGGUUUUCGGAUCGUAAAACUCUGUUGUUAGAGAAGCGGUAUCUAACCAGAAAGCCACGGCUAACUACGUGCCAGCAGCCGCGGUAAUUC
rnacentral:rRNA from 1 species